rnacentral:rRNA from 1 species
CGUCAAAUCAUCAUGCCCCUUAUGACCUGGGCUACACACGUGCUACAAUGGGCGGUACAAAGGGCUGCGAACCCGCGAGGGGGAGCGAAUCCCAAAAAGCCGCUCUCAGUUCGGAUUGCAGGCUGCAACUCGCCUGCAUGAAGCCGGAAUCGCUAGUAAUCGCGGAUCAGCAUGCCCGCGGUCCGAAUACGUUCCGGCCUU